GCAGAUGCCUCUUUAGUGUCCCUAUUAUCGUGUUGACAACUUUUUGUCGCGUGUCAUGCUGCAAGUGAACUCUCCAAUCACACAUAUCUAUGGCAGGUUCUCCACCUGGAGCAGUAUACCUCGAAUUGCUGGAAUCCAUCAGAUUCUCCUGAACCUGGAGUUCAUUGCUACAGACACUAGAGUUGGAUUGCGCUGAAUUGGCCACAUCAUCUUGAGCAAUUGUCUCCAUAUCCAUUUUAAGCAUCUUCAAACUAGUUUUCCGAAGAUAAUCAGACUGACUUGUGGCAGCAUCAUAAAUCUCUUCCUCAAACCUUACAGCAAUUUUCUUCCGUUCUAGCAGUCCCUCUUCACUAGAAAAUGGCAGAUGUCUCUUUAGUGUCUUUGCUAUCUUAUCG
rnacentral:misc_RNA from 1 species